rnacentral:rRNA from 1 species
CAGUAGCCACGGUAAUACGAGGGGGGCAAGCGUUGUUCGGAAUUAUUGGGCGUAAAGGGUGCGUAGGCGGUUUCGUAAGUCUUAUGUGAAAUCUAUGGGCUCAACCCAUAGUCUGCAUGGGAAACUGCGAGGCUUGAGGAUGGGAGAGGUGAGUGGAAUUUCCGGUGUAGCGGUGAAAUGCGUAGAUAUCGGAAGGAACACCUGUGGCGAAAGCGGCUCACUGGACCAUUUCUGACGCUGAUGCACGAAAGCUAGGGGAGCAAACAGGAUUAGAUACCCCAGUAGUCCCUGUCUCUUAUAC